UCGCGCGUCCCAAGCCGCACCUCGAGCCCCGCCCCGCCCCGCCGCAUCCGCCGACUCCCAUUGGCCGAGGGGAGUGGCUCGAGGCUCGCCUGUUCCAAUCGCGCCCAAUGGGAGCUUGGGGACUGGCCCUCGAAGCGGGAGGCGGGGCUGGAGGCGGUGGCCACCGGCAGAAGCGCGCGUGUAGCGCCCGCGAGGAAUCGCAGCGUCCGGCUCCGCGGUCCGGAGCCUCCCUAGCGCAAUACGAAGCUGCCUGGGGCGCCUGGGGGGAGGAGUUUGCAGUGGGGUGAUUUUCGAAUAUCUUCACCUCACUGCGGGAGGAGGAGUUUCGAGAGGAGGAGUUUCGAACGGCCGAUGUUACAAGGGCUGUUAACCCGUGAAGCCCUGAGUCGGAUUCCAGUCUUUUCCAAACCUCGCUCCCGAAUCGUCUAAUAGGCUAAUGACCAUCGCCCCCUGUGCCUCCAAAGGGAAAACGGGACGUAUCGGAAACUUUACCGUCGCCUUUCCCUACUUGCCUUUGCCUUUCUCGGAAUCGUAUAGAGAUGUUAACGGAGUUUUCUUCAAAAUACUCAUCAGUGAGGAAUUUAAAUAAAAUCUUCACAAAAGUACAGUCCCCAACUGAUCCAGUGAAUCCAGCGUUUGGAUCAAUAUGAGCAAAAACAUCUCUAAAAUCAUUGAUCCAGUC